UUCCCCGGAUUCGCCAACUGCCGCGGUUCUCUUGGGAGCUGCUUCCGGUCGCGAGGCCUGCCACGUGAUGCCAACCCAGGGGCGGGAGGAAGCCCGAGGUUCUGGGUGUUGAUUAUGUAACUGCCCAAACCGGUAGAAAUAUACUUUGACCUUUUGCUCACUUCAGAACCCUGAAUACAGACUGAACAGAACCAGAAAGUCUUCAGGAGAAUAAGGAGGUGUUGCAUCCUGUGGUGUUGAGAACAAUUGCCUUGGCUGAAGUUUGGCUCCCUGUAAAGCUCUUCUGUGCUUUUUCUCUCAUAUCGAUGCUGCUCAUUCUUUCUCACCCAUAGGCACAUUUUAUCUAAAAGUGGGUGGGGGUGGGUGGCUGCUGAACACCGGGUACAUUUAUUUCUCCUUCUGACCAUGGAACAUGGGAGAUCUGUCUGCCUUCUCCCAGAAUUCAGAUAUAGAUGAGAAAAGAGGCUUUGAUAUGCAGUGUUUCUCAAUGCAUGGUAGUAGGCCACCUGUAAAGAUUAUCAACUCUUGGGCUUCACCUCAAACUCACUGAAUCACUCUCUGGAAUUUGGGUUUACAACCUACACUUUUAAGAAGCUCCUCAGGGGGACUUCCCUGGUGGUCCAGUGGGUAAGACUCCAAGCUCCCAAUGCAAGGGGCCCGCGUUUGAUCCUUGGCUGGGGAACUAGACCCUGCAUGCACGCCCCAACUAAGAAGUCCACAUGCCUCAACUAAGGUCCACAUG